rnacentral:rRNA from 1 species
UACAGGGGGGGCAAGCGUUGUUCGGAAUUACUGGGCGUAAAGGGCUCGUAGGUGGCCAACUAAGUCAGACGUGAAAUCCCUCAGCUUAACUGGGGAACUGCGUGUGAAACUGGCGAGCUUGAGGGUAGGAGAGGAAUGCGGAAUUCCAGGUGUAGCGGUGAAAUGCGUAGAUAUCUGGAGGAACACCGGUGGCGAAGGCGGCAUUCUGGACUAUUUCUGACACUGAUGAACGAAAGCCAGGGGAGCAAACGGG